rnacentral:rRNA from 1 species
UACGGAGGGUGCGAGCGUUAAUGAUGAAUCUGGGCGUAAAGGGUGCGUAGGUGGCGAGGCAAGUCAGAUGUGAAAUCCCGGGCUCAACCCGGAACUGCAUUGAACUGCCUUGCUCGAGUACUGGAGAGGAGACUGGAAUUACGGUGUAGCAAGUGAAAUGCGCAGAUAUCGGGAGGAACACCUAUGGCGAAGGCAGCUCGCUGGGACGUACUGACGCUGAGACGCGAAGCGUGGGGAGCAAACAGG